UACGAAGGGGGCUAGCGUUGCUCGGAAUCACUGGGCGUAAAGGGUGCGUAGGCGGGUCUUUAAGUUAGGGGUGAAAUCCUGGAGCUCAACUCUAGAACUGCCUUUGAUACUGAGGAUCUUGAGUUCGGGAGAGGUGAGUGGAACUGCGAGUGUAGAGGUGAAAUUCGUAGAUAUUCGCAAGAACACCAGUGGCGAAGGCGGCUCACUGGCCCGAUACUGACGCUGAGGCACGAAAGCGUGGGGAGCAAACAGG
rnacentral:rRNA from 1 species